rnacentral:rRNA from 1 species
UACGGGGGGGGCAAGCGUUGUUCGGAAUUACUGGGCGUAAAGGGCUCGUAGGCGGCCAACUAAGUCGGACGUGAAAUCCCCAGGCUCAACCUGGGAACUGCGUCCGAUACUGGAUGGCUUGAAUCCGGGAGAGGGAUGCAGAAUUCCAGGUGUAGCGGUGAAAUGCGUAGAUAUCUGGAGGAACACCGGUGGCGAAGGCGGCCUGCUGGGCAGUUUAGCUGACACUGAGGCGCGACAGCGUGGGGAGCAAACAGG